rnacentral:lncRNA from 1 species
UAGGACAUCGUGGAUAAGGUGAGUCGGGAGGUGGAUGUGCAGCUGUCCGUCCGCAGCGGCGAGCUAUACAGGCGGUUGGUAACAUAUUUCUACAAGCAUUUUCCGGAUCCGCCUGCGCUGGAGGCCAGCACAAAUCGUCCAUUUCCACAGGCGGUCACUUGAGGGCCACCAGUAUAAACCUUUUACACAGGCGGCAAACCUAUUAAAAUAUGUAUUAUUUAUUUUUUUUUAAUUUAUCUAUUUAUUAUUUAUUAUUUUAUUGUUAUUAUUUAAAUAUAUUGAUAUUGGUUGGUCUUCUAACAUAGCAACAUGUAAUUUAAAUACUUCAUCUCAUACAUACAUUUGUAUACAUCAAAGUUUGGUGCUCAAAGACAUAAAGUUAAUUACAAGAGUAUAUCCAUCAUCACACAUCAUAUAUAUAUACAUCAAAGUUUGUUUUUGUCAUCUAAUAACCCUCAUACUAAUCUCUGUUAGCACUCGGAACUCUGCCCUGGAUAAUUGGCUUUCAUCAUCAUGAUAUUUGCCUUCACGUGGAAUGACAUGCUUCAUGAUGAACGAGCAGAUGUCCUCAACUAUGUUGUCUAAAGCACGUUCGUCCAUGCGCUCCGUUGUCCCUUGCUUGUAUACCUGCAAAGAAAGUUUAUAAACAUUAUAUAUUUUAUGACUUCCAACUUUAAUAGACUAUUACUUAUAUUACCUUGCCAGGGUUCCUUGCAUAUCGCCCGUUUUCUCUCAUGUUCUCGCACACGUAGUAGCCACAGAGGACAGAUAACGGUGGUUGCUUCAUGCACUGUAUAACAGGAGAGUGGUUAUUUAAUUAUAGUUGCAACUGUGGUCGUAUGUGUAUGAUUUGUAUUCAUAAUAGUAAAUUUUUAUACGUACCGGCCAGUUAUGUAUAACCUCCAAUGGUUGCCCUGGUCUCUUGGACUCGCACUUUUCAUGAUUUAUCUUAUAGAACCUGUAUGCCCUAUGAUCUCAAAUAGAAUCACCAUGUUAUUGUCAAUUUCUCACUAUGCUUAAGUAUGCAUGCAUAGCUUGAUUUACAGCUCUAGCAGUUUGAUGAAUGGAGCAUAGCUUUCUUUCGCGUAAUCUGCGGAGUCUAGUACCAACACCCUUCCCUCCUUGGGAUAAAUGAUGAAGCAUAUCCAGUGCCUCCUGCUCGAAUUAAAUCCAUGAUGCAUUUAUGCAUUGGAAUAAUUUAGAUAGAUAUUUGUAAACUCACACUUACCCAAAGUGGAACGGGGCCACCACCGCUUUCCUGUCUUGAAACUUUAUUAGUGAAUGUCCAAUGUAGAAGGCGUAUUUAGCUUCAAAAUCAAGUUUCAACUUUCGGAGUUUCUCAUCCCGUUCUGCACCUUCCAAACCCUGUACCUCUGUGCUGUCAUUCCCGAUCCGGAAUGUGUGCCGAUCUUCGGCUAUAUCUAUUGGGCAGAGAUAGGCAUUCCUUUCUUCGGCACAAUAAUUUAGGUCCGAACCAAAAUACAUAUCUUGUUGAUCAUAUAACAUUCUGCAAGACAGAAGCAUGUCAGAUAUUGAAAAUUGAUGCAACUACAAUGUGUGUAACUAUGUAACACUUACAAUGCAAAUGUCGUUACGAUCUGUAUAUCUAGCAUCUCGUGGUUCAUCAGUGCCCACAUGUCAUCAAAUGUAAGCAUGCAUU